UACAGAGGGUGCAAGCGUUAAUCGGAAUUACUGGGCGUAAAGAGCGUGUAGGCGGUCAGGUAGGUCAGUUGUGAAAACUGGAGGCUCAACCUUCAGACGUCGACUGAAACCCCCUGGCUAGAGUCCGGGAGAGGAGAGUGGAAUUCCUGGUGUAGCGGUGGAAUGCGCAGAUAUCAGGAAGAACACCCGUGGCGAAAGCGGCUCUCUGGAACGGUACUGACGCUGAGGUGCGAAAGCCAGGGGAGCAAACGGG
rnacentral:rRNA from 1 species